rnacentral:rRNA from 1 species
GAACCGUACGAACGUUAUUCGGAAUCACUGGGCUUAAAGGGUGCGUAGGCGGCGCGGAAAGUUGGGUGUGAAAUCCCUCGGCUCAACCGAGGAACUGCGCCCAAAACUACCGUGCUCGAGGGAGACAGAGGUGAGCGGAACUUAGGGUGGAGCGGUGAAAUGCGUUGAUAUCCUAAGGAACACCUGUGGCGAAAGCGGCUCACUGGGUCUUUUCUGACGCUGAGGCACGAAAGCUAGGGGAGCGAACGGGAUUAGAUACCCCGGUAGUCCUAGCUGUAAACGAUGAGCACUGGGUUGGAGGGUCCUCCAUAGCCUUCCAGCCGCAGCGAAAGUGUUAAGUGCUCCGCCUGGGGAGUAUGGUCGCAAGGCUGAA